rnacentral:misc_RNA from 1 species
UACGAGGGGGGUUAGCGUUGUUCGGAAUUACUGGGCGUAAAGCGCACGUAGGCGGAUUGUUAGGUCAGGGGUGACACCCUGGGGCUCAACCCCGGAACUGCCUUUGAUACUGGCAAUCUUGAGUUCGAGAGUGGUGAGUGGAAUUCCGGGUGUAGAGGUGAAAUUCGUAGAUAUUCGGAGGAACACCAGUGGCGAAGGCGGCUCACUGGCUCGAAACUGACGCUGAGGUGCGAAAGCGUGGGGAGCAAACAGG